rnacentral:rRNA from 1 species
CCUACGGGUGGCAGCAGUGGGGAAUAUUGGGCAAUGGAGGCAACUCUGACCCAGCAACGCCGCGUGAAUGAUGAAGGUCUUCGGAUUGUAAAGUUCUGUGAUGGGGGAUGAACACAAUGACGGUACCCCAAUAGCAAGCCACGGCUAACUACGUGCCAGCAGCCGCGGUAAUACGUAGGGAGCAAGCGUUAUCCGGAUUUACUGGGUGUAAAGGGCGUGUAGGCGGGCAUGCAAGCCAGAAGUGAAAUCUGGGGGCUUAACCCCCAAACUGCUUUUGGAACUGCGUGUCUUGAGUGAUGGAGAGGCAGGCGGAAUUCCCAGUGUAGCGGUGAAAUGCGUAGAUAUUGGGAGGAACACCAGUGGCGAAGGCGGCCUGCUGGACAUUAACUGACGCUGAGGCGCGAAAGCGUGGGGAGCAAACAGGAUUAGAUACCCUUGUAGUC